rnacentral:rRNA from 1 species
GACGAACGCUGGCGGCGUGCUUAACACAUGCAAGUCGAACGAAGUGGCGAACGGGUGAGUAACGCGUAAUCAACCUGCCCUUCAGAGGGGGACAACAGUUGGAAACGACUGCUAAUACCGAAUACUGAAGGAGGGGAUUGGGUCGGAUUAGCUAGUUGGAGGGGUAACGGCCCACCAAGGCGAUGAGUAGUAGGCGGGCUGGGAGGAUGGACGGCCACAUCUGGACUGGGACACGGGCCAGACUUCUACGGGAGGCAGCAGUGGGGGAACUUCCGCAAUGGACGAAAGUCUGACGGAGCCAAGCCGCGUGAGUGAUGACGGCCUUCGGGUUGUAAAGCUCUGUUAAUCGGGACGCGGUACCGGAAUAGAAAGCCACGGCUAACUACGUGCCAGCAGCCGCGGUAAUUC